UACGUAGGGGGCAAGCGUUGUCCGGAAUCAUUGGGCGUAAAGAGCGCGUAGGCGGCCCAGUAAGUCCGCUCUGAAAGUCAGAGGCUCAACCUCUGAAUGCGGGUGGAUACUGCUGGGCUAGAGUCCGGAAGAGGCGAGUGGAAUUCCUGGUGUAGCGGUGAAAUGCGCAGAUAUCAGGAGGAACACCGAUGGCGAAGGCGGCUUCCUGGCCUGUUCUUGACGCUGAGGCGCGAAAGCGAGGGUAGCAAACGGG
rnacentral:rRNA from 1 species